UUAAGUUGGUACCUUAGUAAAGUUUUAAAAACUAGGAGGCAUUUAAAACAAUGAAAUUAUUACCUUAGCAAUAACACACAAACAAACAAGUCAGAUUAUACUUCUCACACUUCGUUACUGCAUCAGUCAUGGGCUGUUCGCAGAAAAGAGAAGUGCCUAUCCCAACUGCUACAAAUGAUGAAGGUAUUAAUCCUACGAUGGAGUUUUUUUGGGCCUUGCGUCGCCUUAUUUUUAGACUUGAAGCAAAAAUAAGGACAUACCUAAUGCUCAAACUUGUGUUAGUUCAGAAGUUGAAUGCAUACAAAGAAGAUCACUGAACUCAUUCAGUGCUAGUUCAUGUUUACGGAUCAUAUAGAGUUUCAGAUUUCGAAAUUAUAAAGUUGCACACCGUAGUUUGUUUAGUGAUAAAAUGAAUUUCAAGAAAAUAGUUCAACAUGCAGAAAAUCAAAUGAAGAAAUGUAUUGUUAAUUGCUUUAAUCUUUUUAAUUAAUAAAGAAACUUUUUUGAUCCGUA